rnacentral:rRNA from 1 species
AAUAGCAUAUCAAUAAGCGGAGGAAAAGAAACCAACAGGGAUUGCCUUAGUAACGGCGAGUGAAGCGGCAACAGCUCAAAUUUGAAAUCUGGCCCCAGGCCCGAGUUGUAAUUUGCAGAGGAUGCUUUUGGCGCGGUGCCUUCCGAGUUCCCUGGAACGGGACGCCAUAGAGGGUGAGAGCCCCGUCUGGUUGGAUACCAAGCCUUUGUAAAGCUCCUUCGACGAGUCGAGUAGUUUGGGAAUGCUGCUCUAAAUGGGAGGUAUAUGUCUUCUAAAGCUAAAUACCGGCCAGAGACCGAUAGCGCACAAGUAGAGUGAUCGAAAGAUGAAAAGCACUUUGGAAAGAGAGUUAAACAGCACGUGAAAUUGUUAAAAGGGAAGCGUUUAUGACCAGACUUGGGCCGGUUAAUCAUCCAGCGUUCUCGCUGGUGCACUUUGCCGGUCCAGGCCAGCAUCAGUUCGCUGCGGGGGAUAAAGGCGUCGGGAAUGUGGCUCCUCUGGAGUGUUAUAGCCCUUCGCGCAAUACCCUGCGGUGGACUGAGGUUCGCGCAUCUGCAAGGAUGCUGGCGUAAUGGUCAUCAACGACCCGUCUUGAAACACGGACCAAGGAGUCGUCUUCGUAUGCGAGUGUUCGGGUGUAAAACCCCUACGCGUAAUGAAAGUGAACGCAGGUGAGAGCUUCGGCGCAUCAUCGACCGAUCCUGAUGUUCUCGGAUGGAUUUGAGUAAGAGCAUACGGGGCCGGACCCGAAAGAAGGUGAACUAUGCCUGUAUAGGGUGAAGCCAGAGGAAACUCUGGUGGAGGCUCGCAGCGGUUCUGACGUGCAAAUCGAUCGUCAAAUAUGGGCAUGGGGGCGAAAGACUAAUCGAACCUUCUAGUAGUGUUCUUCUUCCCGAGAA